UCACCAUCGAGCCUCAGCUGGUGCCCGGAGAGCCCGUGAGGGAGAAGAUUAAGGAAGGAAAGUUUGACAGCCAAGAGGACGAGCGCUUAAUGCAGGCGGCAGAGAGGUUUGAGAGGGACGCAGCACAAAGCUACCCAGACCGGCCCUGUGUCACCUCCAUCAUAGACCUCAAUGGGAAGACGGUCUUCAUCACUC